UUGUCGGAGUGCUCUUAAUGAGCUGAGACCACAAUAGUGGGAUCCGUUGAACCUGAUCAGGCUAAUACCUGCGUAAGGGAAGCA
rnacentral:ncRNA from 1 species